UGGUUGGUAUUCGUUUUUCUUUUUGUUGUUGACUCCCCUCAUCUCCACCCCCCCUUCCCUCCCUCCCUCCCUCUCUCUUAAACAGGAAUAACCGGAAGAACGUGCUUUGAGCAUCACAGUGCGCGCGACGAGACGGACACGUUUAUGUUUUGUCGUUCUCCCUGUGCGCUAACACUCCCCUGUCCUUUUUCGAUUCUCUGCGCCGCCCCAUUGUUGUUCUCCCCCUCCCCUUUUCGCCUAUCGCACAGGGGCGUUUCUGCUGGAGACGUCAUUGCAGACAUCCACGGCUGCUGUGUUGUGGUCCCGAGCUGCCUUAUUUUGUGACGGCGUAAAGGAGAGAGAGGGGCACAUUCUGCCCUGUUGUCCAGGAAAGAAACGAAAAGAACAACAGCAAAAAAAAAAAAGAACAGGCGCGGCUGCAGGACACGGAGCGUGCUGUCAGUUGCGAAGAAACAUUCAAACAACAGCGAUACGGUCAAGUAGUCCUCGGCGACUACGUCUGCACAUCGCCUGGGGCCCGUUGCCACCCGUCUCGGAGAAGAAAGACAAAGAAAAAAAAAACAUUAUCCAGUUCCAAUCAUGCUCUUCAACCUGCGCGGUAUCGUUCCUCAGAAGGAGGAGAAGGUGAAGAACCAGAUGACGCUUGCUGACAUUCUCGCUUUUCGCGACACAUGGACUGCCAUUCCUGAGCCGAACUUCUCGCUAGAGCGCGUGCUGCUGACUGCCCGCCUGGAGAAGCAACGCAAGGCAGAGAUUCCUAAGCUCGUCAUGUCCGAGAACGGAUUCCGCGUUCGCGACAAGAAGGACAUGGACGCGUCGGAGCUCGAGCUACGCCGCGUGCAGGGUUCGCUGAACAAGCUCACUGACAAGAAUUUCGACGCCGUGGUGGAGGAAGCGCUUUCGCCGGACCUGGUGUUGAAUCCGCUGGUGCUAAAGGGUGCCGUGGAUAUCAUCUUCAACAAGGCCGUGGCGGAGCCGGUCUUUUCCGGCAUCUACGCCCAGCUGUGUCAGCGCAUCAAGGUGUACGAGCAGGACCUUGUCGCGGAGGCCGCGGAAAACCCCACAUCCGAGCUUGGCCAGCUCAUGGCAGCGGUACAGGCGGGGGACGAUGACCAGAAGAACGUAAACGGACGCGUGCGCAACGCGUUGGUGAAGCGCUGCCAAGAGUUUCACGACAGCUUCGUGAACCAGCCGCCACCCCGAAACGCCGAGGCCGAGGAGCAGCUGCGCAAGCGCAACAUGGCGAACAUCAAAUUUGUUGGCGAACUGUACAUGCGCUCGCUCAUCUCACACCGCGUGAUUCUGGCCGUGUGCUCGACGGCGCUUGUCCUGGGCUUUAUACCGAGUCCCAAGCUGGUCACCACGGAUGCCGACCUCGAGAUGAUGGUGAGUCUGAUGAAUGUCAUCGGCAAGCGGUUCGACGAAAACGCUGGCAUGGCGCUGAACCACGUGCCGAAGGACGCCGCUGCUGCGGCACACCCGCACGACACCAUCUGGCGCGCGCUGAACUCGUCGAUGAACGAUCCUCGCUUCUCGCGUCGCAUCCGGUUCCUCAUUCAGAAUUUGCUGGAGUGGCGCAACGACGGGUGGAAGCCGAAAGAGAGCUCUGCCCAGGGAUCCUCGGGUGGUAGCGCAGACGACAGCAACAACACGACCCACAACGAGCGCCCCAACCACCGCUCUAGCAACAACGCAUGCAGUCACAGCAACACCGGCGGCUUUAGCGGACCGAACGAGCAGAUGCACCGCAAUGCAGCGCCGAACAACUUCGGCAGCGGCGGCUCGUGGCAGCAGCAGAUGCAGCAGCUACACUCCGGUGGUCGCGGCCCCAUCAUGGGCAGCUCUAACGCGGGCGGCAACCGUGGCGGGACGCGGCCUUCGAGCAUGGCGGACAGAGGCGACGAAAAGUAUGGCCGUGGCGGUGGCCCGGGAGGCCUGCGGCAGGGCCCCGUCUCGAGCUUCAACGACCUCAGCCAGUUCCCAGCCAGCAAUGACCACAUGAUGCCGCCGCCGCCGCCGUUCGCGGCGCCGCCGCCGCCCUUCCCAGGGGAGGGUAUGAUGCCGCCGCCCAUGGUGCCGCAGGCGGCUUCGGUGUCUGGGCCGCAGAUGAGCGAUGAGGACCGCAAGUUGAUGGCGCUGGCGACACCGCCGAAGUGCGUCGACGCCGACCUCAGCGCGCGUAUCUUGAGCUGCAUCCGCGAUGCGCACACGGACGGGGACUGGGCCGCUGCCGGCAAGGCGAUCGUGGAGGCGGUGCCGCAGGACGCCGCACACAUGUGCCGCAUGUGCGCUGUUUUCGUCAUUGCAAAGAAGGUGACGGAGACGUCUUCAGAGGCGGACCGGGAGCUUUUCAUGAGCUCGCUCAACAGCGGCAUGUUCGACAUCAAGGAGCUGACGCGCGGCUACUCAUGGUGCCUGACAAACGCUGUGGCGUACAAUGUCAAGGAGGACUUCCCCAAGGUGUACAGCCGCUUCGUGGCGUGCGUGACGGCAACGAAGUCGAUGGACUUCUUGUCGAUGGUGAGUAACGUCAUGGCACGCACGGCGAACUACCUCGACGCGCUGUACGUGCCGCUGGAGGGUGCGCAGAUGGAGUGGGAGGAGGAUUUCCUGGAGGUGUGGACGUCUGUGCUCGGCAAGUGGCAGGAAGCUCACCCCGGAGACAAGUCUACUGGCAGCGACAUCCUCAACUGCAUUGCAUCCAUCAAGCAGCGGCCCUUCAUGAAGGACAUCGUUUCUGACUUUAUGAUGGAGCUGAGCCAGCAGGGCUACCUCGAUGAUGCCGAGGCCCAGACUUGGAUUCUCGAGAAUCGGACGAACGAAAAGUACAAGAUGUUCAUGGACCAGAUGGAACAGAUGUACCCCGACACGGCGUAGCUGCCCUACGAGCCUGUGCUGUUUUUCUCUCUCUCUCUCUUGUUGAGUUUGUGUGCAGAGAUGCUUGUAGACAGUCGUCCGUCUUUUUCUCCUAUUGUUCGUCUAGGUGUGGACCCAUUACGGGGGCGUGCUCUGCGGCGGUGCUCACGCACAUCAGCGUGGAGGCGGCACGAUGAAGUCCUCCCGUUCCCCCGCCGCGUUGGCAGUUCCACACGAUCUCGUGCUUUUCUUCUGCCUUUGCUUGUGUCUUUUUGAGCCUCCUUGCGGCUUUACCUUUUUUUUUUCUGGCAGGAGAUGGCUUCAUGCGUUUCACCUCCUUGUGCUUGUGCUUGUGCGCACACACACACACACACACACACCUUUAGAUGGCCGUUGUAUGCAUCUGCAGAAUAGCCUCUCCGUCUUCUCCUACUUCUGCACUCCUCCUCACAAGCCCUUGUAUUAAGCGGGGGAGCGCACCAGAAAAGGUUGACAGACGCGAUGGUGUCGUAGCCGUCGGGUAUUCAGACGUCGCAGCGUGGAUCGGGCCAAGGCGAAGUGGUCGGGUGGGAGACAUGUGCUAUAUCCUCGCGCUGAUGCGUUCCUGAGGUUCCUCAACAGUGUGGGUCGUGCCCUUAUCCUUCCCAUACUCCCAGCGCUAGUCCUGAGCUGCUUACCGGAGUAUCCGUUUGUGUGUGUUGGAGGGUGUGUGUGCCUGUCUCUCGUUCUCACUCGCCCAUACGCUCCUUUUUUAUCCCUUCCCCGCCCUCUAUGUCGGGCCGCCAUCCCUGUCAGUACUCGCCCCCUCUCUCUUUUUAUAUAUUUUUGCUCCACAUCACAAGAACCCAAACAACAAGAGGCAUGCCAUUGCCGUCGUUGGGAUGUCAGCCGUUUUCGUCUUCGUGUCUGUGUGUGCUCUUGCUGCGUAAGCCUUCAUAAGUGCCGUAACAUAAUUAUGAACGCCAAUGAAGAGCGACUUGAGGU
rnacentral:misc_RNA from 1 species